rnacentral:lncRNA from 1 species
UGCAGUUGGCGGUCGGGCUAGACAAGAGAGGCGCCUGCGCCUGCGCCCGCGCCUGCGAGCUGGGCUUGUGAGUGGGGCUGCCCAGCCGGCAGGCGUGGGGCGAGGCCAAAGGACUGAACCCGCAGGAGCGUCACAGGCGCCGGGGCGGCUGCCGACGGCGGGCCUGGGUCAGUGAGAAGCCCGUGGACCCCCGCCCUGCCUGCUACUCCCAUCCUCCCCUGCUGCGCGCUCCACGGGGAACGACCUCCGAUUGGGUCCAAUGCCUACCCUCGGGGUGGAGCCGGCAGGAGUUAAGAAGUUUCCAUUAUUUUGCUCCAAACCAGAAGACUCUGUUGCCUGUAUAUAGAAUAGGAGUAAUGUUUGAAAACAACUGGCUGGUGUUUAAGACUGAAGAUUGUCGUGAUUGUUUAUCCUAAUCCCAAUGCUGAAGUAAGAUUGUCUUGGAAAUACUAAGUUGGGAUAAU